UGAAAGCCACUGGUCUCCCAAACAUACAUGCUGUUGUGAUAUUUUUGUCUGUUUGUACAGUCAGUGCUUUCACAGCCCAGUACCACUGCAAGUUGCUUCCUUUUUUAAAAUUGGUUCCUUUGAAUAGGUCUGUCCCAGCCCAGUACAGCUGCAAUGAUUCUAUAAAAGAAGACUUUCCAUUGAGGUUUGACCUGCUCUGCACCAGAAAGGACAGCAAGAUGGUGAUCCAGACCCCAAUCCUCCUGGCUCUGUUGCUCUGGGUGUCUGGUGUCUGCAGUGACAUUGUGAUGACCCAGUCUCCAGCCUCCCUGGCAGUGACUCCUGGAGAAAGCGCCACCAUCCACUGCAAGUCCAGCCAGAGUCUUCUAUAUAGUGUUAACAACAAGAACUGCUUAGCCUGGUACCAGCAGAAACCAGGGAAAUCUCCCAAACUGCUCAUCUUUUUGGCAUCCACCCGGGCAUAUGGCAUCCCAGACCGGUUCACUGGCAGUGGGUCUGGCAGGGAUUUCACCUUGACCAUCAGCAGGGUGCAGGCUGAAGAUGUGGCAGAUUAUUACUGUUUUCAGACUCUUAGUGCCUCUUCCCACAGUGAUUCAGCCUCGAACAUAAACUUCCUCUCAGGGUCUCCCAGCUGCUUGUUCUUUGAGCCGGUACAAUACUUCUAUCUUCGGCCUGAGAGACUGUGCCCUGGUCUAAAUGUGAGUUAUUUUCAGGUUUGUUGAACAUAAGGGAUCUCAGUGGAUUUUUACACUUUUGUUAUGGGAGUGCCAUGUAGGAAAUUUAAUAAAGACCUCUGUAUUAGUUUACUAUUUCUUAUGUAUUAGUUUCUACAAGCUCAAUGACUUUAAUAUAAGAUAUUAAGACAUAAGGGAUCUCAGUGGAUUUUUACACUUUUGUUAUGGG